CUUUUCUUCUCAGUCUCCUCUUCUAUGUUGUUUUUUGGAUUAGCAGGAGCGAAGACUUGCACUAUCAAAACAUUUGCCAUUGGAAAGUCGAGGGGUUCAUCUGGAAGAAUGAGCAAGAAGGUGCACUGGAUAUUUCAAGAACAGAAAUGGUAGCAUGAAAAGAGCCUAAGAAGAGAAGGAGAUGAAAGUUUUAAUGAAGUGGAGUAAGAUCCAUCGGUGUACUUGUCAUCUGGAGUGAAACAGAAAAGCCAUAGCAGUUGGCUGCUGGAUGUGUAGCCAAAAGAAAAGGAAUUUGUAACUAUGUCUGAAAUCUGUUAAUUGGAGAGAAUAAAUGGAUGAAAUGAAGAAUACGUAAAGGAAAAGAAGGUUUGUAAGGAGACAGUGCUGGAGAUGCAGUAUUUUCCUCUUCUCCUUUCAUUGAUCUGACAAAAGCAUUGGAUGUGGUAAGUUGCUGUGCUCUUUGCAGCCUCACAGAAAAUCCUUAUCUGUUAAAGUAAUUUGCAGUGGACUUCAGAACUGCUUCAUAUGAGCACCAAAUGAAGCUCAACAGAUUGAUACUUUUCAUAGGAUAACUCAGAGUCCAUCUUGUAAGUAGUCUUGUUCAUGCUGUUCAGUACAGUGAGGUACAUGAUUGCUGUGACCUUCAACUCAGCAUUUGGAUUUUUGAAAUUCACAAGUGUCACUUAUUCUCUUCAAAUAGUCUAAAAAAUAGUCUAAAUGGACAAUUUGAGAAUUCUUGGUUAUAGCCACACAUAGGUUAUCCACUCCAAUUUCUGAUUUACAAGUGCUGGAGCAGAAAUUUAUUCUUCUCCAGACAGCUUUUAAUUUGGCUGCCAGAUGAAAAAUUAGGCCUGCUAGAAGUAACAAUAAAAAAGAGUGUCUGCUGACCCUCUAAACUGAACUCCUUGUCUGAAAGAUGCUUGUUUUUUGGUAUUUGCUGAGUAAUAAUGAAUGCCUACUGAGAAAUGGACCCAGGAAAAAAAAAAGUUAUUACUGACAGGUACUUUCAAGAAAACAGCAGUCUGCCAUCAGGCUCUCCACCAGGUGUAUUAAGGCUUUGAGCUCCAUUUGUCAUGUAGGAGAACUCUUUGGGAGCUGGACAGAAGAUAAAUCUGUGGACUGGAGCUCUGCUAUGGAAACAACAGCUUUCCCUUCCCUGGAGGACACUGUGCAAUGAAUUGUUCAGUGGCAAUGUUCAGACUUCAUGUUCACCAAGGUGUUGCUGACUAAAGUCCAGCUGUGAGAGACCAGAGAAACUGUCCAUUUGAACUAAAUGUGAAUGCUCAGCUCCUGUGCAGGGAGGCCGAAUGAGUCAACAGGAAGCACAGCUCCUGCCAGAGGGGCUUCUGGAGCUGGAAGUGUGCUCCUGACUGCUUGAGACACAGCACGAGACUCUUCAGGACCCCAACCACGCGUAAUGCUGCGAGCAGCCUGGCUUCUGGAGGGAACACACAGGUCUAGCCAAGCUCUUUGACUGGAAAAUCACUCAAGUCAAAGGAUGCACCCAGCAGCAGGAGUGCCUUGGCCAGCAGACUGAAUAGCAGCAUAGGUUAUUUAACACCUGUGUACUCACCAACCCUUGAUUCAUCUAUGCCUCAAAAUGCUCUCAAUCCUCAGCUUUGAGGAUUUUCCUCUAGUGACAUCAAGGAUUAUGUUAACUAUUAUAUUGUCCCUAAUUUUAAAUUUGCAUCAAAUUGUAAAUAAUAAGCUUCUGACUGUCUGAGUCAGAGGUGAACCUAUCAAAACCACAUUGUUUUUACAAUCUAACUAGGAUUAAAAUUUUAUUGUCCCUCAUGGAAUCUCCACAGAAAUUUCAGGGUUGGGAGGGAAAUGUGAAAAUUUGAUGUGAAAUUAUGCAAGGUUCUCUGGUAGAUGUGUGUGCAGCUUUUUGUGAGAAUUUAGUGACUUGAAUUAUUUUUUUCCCUUCAGGACAACACUGCCUAUGUUUAUUUUAAUAUGGUAAUUGGCAAUGUAAAUAACAGACUUAAACUGACAGUGAAUUUAAAUGUGUGCUAAGAUUAAACUGUGCAAGACAGAAGUUUGUUUUUAUGUGGGUAGUUGUCUGCAGCGAAGGGGCGGUAUGAGGUGAUUUAAUAGCAUCAGUGUUUUGAAGUGUUAUAGCCAAAUCUGCCAAAACUACUUCUGUCUAGGUCCCAUAAAUAUUACUUUCUGUAACUCCUGAGAUAGUACUUUUAUACCUUAGACUUUUUUUCCCCAGAGUUUACAGCUAAAAACAACUUAAGUUUUGCAGAGCUGUCUCUGUCUAAUAGCAUGAGACUAAAAUUCUCCAAUUAUGUGUUCAUUAAUAUAUUGUAUUAUGAAAGUGAAAGGUGCCACCAUUGUUCAAGAAAAAGUUAGACACUAUCUUCAAGUGCUUACAAUCUUUGGACCUUUCCCCUCCUGAAGCAGAGUUCUGCAGUUGCCUCUAAAAGGUGCAGGACUCAAUUCUAAAUCAUCCUAAGAAACAUUAAGGCUCUAUUAAAUAAAUGUACUUUUGCUAAGAAGCUGAAGAAAAAGUCACCAGUCUAACUUAUUCCAUAUAACCAAGAGGGUGAUUAAAUGUUCCAAAUAUGCAGAAGUCAAAUGUCCCAUUUCUGCUUUAAAUCUUUUCCUUUUAUAGGCUGUGGGUUAUACUCCCUGCUUUGAAAACCUGUGCUGUUUAGGAACAAGAAUUUAUUUACAGUUUUAAAAACUUGCAACUAAUCUUGGAUGAAUAGUCUGAAUUAACCUUUGGCAGAGAAGUUGUAAUUUCUAAGCCAACACAUAACUGUAUUUUGCAUUAGUUUAGGAAUAUUGGGUACUUUGAGGGGUUAAGAAUGAAAUAUUUUCCAUGAUUCAUAUCUCUUUUAACUUGAAAAGUCAACAACUCAAUUCCAGUGUAGCCAAAAGGGGUUUUCAGUCCAAAAUGUCUCAUUGCUUGCAAUUAAUUUGGACUCUUGCAAUUAGGGUUUGGUAUCCCAAUGCAUUAAUGCAUGAAAACAGCUGCACAAUGAGUAGUGCCACAUGUUUGAACUAAAAAUAAUCUGUGUAUAUUGUUGCUGUGCAAACAGUUAUACAUUUUGGUCGCUGAAGAUAAUCUCUGUGUUAGAACAGCAGAGAUGCAAAUUGUACAACAGAGAGGGGACAAUUGUGUGUGCCUGCUUGUGCCACUUACCCACGCCCUGUCCCUUUUUGUCUUAGCAAAUAUGCUGAAUCCUGUUAUUUAAAUCCAUGAAAAGUCCAUCAAAACUUUUAGUGAUAAACAUACUUAUGCAAAUGGAAACAACUUUAUUUUCUGUGAAAUAAGGAUUUUGGAGCUUAGACAACUGACAUGACGUUUUAGGGAGGGGGGAAAAAGGUUGUGCUAGUUUAGAAUGAAUUUUGUCUUGCAGAUAUAUCUAUGGGCCAGGGUAAAAAACCCUCUCAGCUGAAAAUGGCAUGCUUUCCAACUUUCUGAGCUCAGGCCUUCUUCCACUGUGCUGGUUUUGGCUGGGGCAGAGUUAAAUUUCUUCACAGUGUCUAGUACAGGGCUGUGUUUUGGAUUUGUGCUGAACGCAGGAUUGAUAAUAUAGAGAUGGUUUUUGUUAUGUU